rnacentral:rRNA from 1 species
AGAGUUUGAUCCUGGCUCAGAACGAACGCUGGCGGCGUGGAUAAGACAUGCAAGUUGGACGAGAUUUUUCGUUGUAGCAAUACGAUGGAAAGUCUAGUGGCGAACGGGUGCUUAACACGUGGGCAACCUGCCAUGAAGUGGGGGACAGCUCGCCGAAAGGCGAAUUAAUACCGCAUGUGAUUAGAGAGGACAUCCUUUCGAAAUUAAAGUUGGGGCAACCUGACGCUUCUUGUGGGGCCCGCGGCCUAUCAGCUAGUUGGUGAGGUAACGGCCCACCAAGGCUUUGACGGGUAGCUGGUCUGAGAGGACGACCAGCCACACUGGGACUGAGACACGGCCCAGACACCUACGGGUGGCAGCAGUCGAGAAUUUUUGACAAUGGGGGAAACCCUGAUCGAGCGACGCCGCGUGGAGGAUGAAGGUCUUCGGAUUGUAAACUCCUGUCAUUGGGGAACAAUGCACAGAUAUUAACUGUAUUUGUGUUGAUAGUACCCGAAGAGGAAGAGACGGCUAACUCUGUGCCAGCAGCCGCGGUAAUACAGAGGUCUCAAGCGUUGUUCGGAUUCAUUGGGCGUAAAGGGUGCGUAGGCGGCGCGGUAAGUCGGAUGUGAAAUCUCGGAGCUUAACUUCGAAACUGCAUUCGAUACUGCCGUGCUUGAGGACUGGAGAGGAGACUGGAAUUUACGGUGUAGCGGUGAAAUGCGUAGAUAUCGUAAGGAAGACCAGUGGCGAAGGCGGGUCUCUGGACAGUUCCUGACGCUGAGGCACGAAAGGUCAGGGGAGCAAACGGGAUUAGAUACCCCGGUAGUCCUGACAGUAAACGGUGCACGUUUGGUGUGGGAGGAUUCGACCCCUUCUGCGCCGGAGCUAACGCGUUAAACGUGCCGCCUGGGGAGUACGGUCGCAAGAUUAAAACUCAAAGAAAUUGACGGGGGCCCGCACAAGCCG